rnacentral:rRNA from 1 species
UUGACCUCGGAUCAGGUAGGGAUACCCGCUGAACUUAAGCAUAUCAAUAAGCGGAGGAAAAGAAACCAACAGGGAUUGCCCCAGUAACGGCGAGUGAAGCGGCAAGAGCUCAAAUUUGAAAGCUGGCUCCUUCGGGGUCCGCAUUGUAAUUUGUAGAGGAUGCUUCGGGAGCGGUCCCCAUCUAAGUGCCCUGGAACGGGACGUCAUAGAGGGUGAGAAUCCCGUAUGGGAUGGGGUGUCCGCGCCCGUGUGAAGCUCCUUCGACGAGUCGAGUUGUUUGGGAAUGCAGCUCUAAAUGGGUGGUAAAUUUCAUCUAAAGCUAAAUAUUGGCCGGAGACCGAUAGCGCACAAGUAGAGUGAUCGAAAGAUGAAAAGCACUUUGAAAAGAGAGUUAAAAAGCACGUGAAAUUGUUGAAAGGGAAGCGCUUGCGACCAGACUCGCUCGCGGGGUUCAGCCGGCAUUCGUGCCGGUGUAUUUCCCCGCGGGCGGGCCAGCGUCGGUUUGGGCGGUCGGUCAAAGGCCCUCGGAAGGUAACGCCCCUCGGGGCGUCUUAUAGCCGAGGGUGCAAUGCGACCUGCCCGGACCGAGGAACGCGCUUCGGCUCGGACGCUGGCAUAAUG